rnacentral:rRNA from 1 species
GGGAUAACUCCGGGAAACCGGGGCUAAUACCGGAUAACAUUUUGAACCGCAUGGUUCGAAAUUGAAAGGCGGCUUCGGCUGUCACUUAUGGAUGGACCCGCGUCGCAUUAGCUAGUUGGUGAGGUAACGGCUCACCAAGGCAACGAUGCGUAGCCGACCUGAGAGGGUGAUCGGCCACACUGGGACUGAGACACGGCCCAGACUCCUACGGGAGGCAGCAGUAGGGAAUCUUCCGCAAUGGACGAAAGUCUGACGGAGCAACGCCGCGUGAGUGAUGAAGGCUUUCGGGUCGUAAAACUCUGUUGUUAGGGAAGAACAAGUGCUAGUUGAAUAAGCUGGCACCUUGACGGUACCUAACCAGAAAGCCACGGCUAACUACGUGCCAGCAGCCGCGGUAAUACGUAGGUGGCAAGCGUUAUCCGGAAUUAUUGGGCGUAAAGCGCGCGCAGGUGGUUUCUUAAGUCUGAUGUGAAAGCCCACGGCUCAACCGUGGAGGGUCAUUGGAAACUGGGAGACUUGAGUGCAGAAGAGGAAAGUGGAAUUCCAUGUGUAGCGGUGAAAUGCGUAGAGAUAUGGAGGAACACCAGUGGCGAAGGCGACU